rnacentral:rRNA from 1 species
GACGAACGCUGGCGGCGUGCUUAACACAUGCAAGUCGAACGGUGAAGCGCCUUCCUUUUUGGUGGGUGUGGAGGCGUGGCGAUCGGGCGAGUGACAGGUGCGUAACCUGCCCCCUUCUUCUGGAUAACCGCAUGUAAGUGUGGCUACUAUGGGAUAUUCUGGGUCUGUCGCAUGAUGGGUCUGGGAAAGUUAUUGUUUCGGGGGGGGAUGGGCUCGCGGCUUAUCUGCUUGUUGGCGUGGGGAUGGCCUACCAAGGCGGCUGGGGGUGGCCGGGCUGGGAGGGUGGGCGGCCACACUGGUGCGGAGACGCCGCCCAGACUCCGACGGGAGGCAGCAGUGAGGAAUAUUGCACAGUGGGCACAAUCCUACAGCAGCGACGCCGCGUGAGGGAUGGAGGCCGUCGGGUUGUGAACCUCUUUCGCCAGUGAAACGGGCCUGCCUCGUUUGUGGGGGGGUUGACGGUAGCGGGAUAAGAAGCACCGGCUAACUACGUG